rnacentral:rRNA from 1 species
UACGUAGGGUGCGAGCGUUAAUCGGAAUUACUGGGCGUAAAGCGUGCGCAGGCGGUUCGUUGUGUCGGCGGUGAAAGCCCCGGGCUCAACCUGGGAAUGGCCGUUGAAACUGGCGAACUGGAGUGUGGCAGAGGGGGGUGGAAUUCCGCGUGUAGAGGUGAAAUUCGUAGAUAUUCGCAAGAACACCAGUGGCGAAGGCGGCUCACUGGCCCGAUACUGACGCUGAGGCACGAAAGCGUGGGGAGCAAACAGG